CACGCAGGCGGUCGCGCAAGUUUGGGGUUACAGCUCCCGGCUCAACUGGGAGAGCGCCUUGAAGACUGGGCGACUUGAGGGCCACAGAGGGACACAGAAUUCCGGGUGUAGUGGUGAAAUGCGUAGAUAUCCGGAGGAAUACCAAAGGCGAAGGCAGUGUCCUGGGUGCACCUGACGCUCAGGUGCGAAGGCUAGGGGAGCGAACGGGAUUAGAUACCCCGGUAGUCCUAGCCGUAAACGAUGACCACUAGGUGUGCGGGGUAUCGACCCCCUGCGUGCCGCAGUUAACGCAAUAAGUGGUCCGCCUGGGGAGUACGGUCGCAAGAUUAA
rnacentral:rRNA from 1 species